rnacentral:sRNA from 1 species
GAUGACUUACAGGAUGUAAUAGGGAGAGCUGUCGAGAUUGGUGUUAAAAAGUUUAUGAUUACAGGUGGAAAUCUACAAGACAGUAAAGAUGCACUGCAUUUGGCACAAACAAAUGGUAUCCUCAUAUUUCUUUUACCAAAAAAAAAAAAAUGAAUUAAGUAAUUUUGAAGAAGUCUUUCUGAAAACUGCUUCAGAUAUGUUUUUCAGUACAGUUGGAUGUCAUCCUACAAGAUGUGGUGAAUUUGAAAAGAAUAACCCUGAUCUUUACUUAAAGGAGUUGCUAAAUCUUGCUGAAAACAAUAAAGGGAAAGUUGUGGCAAUAGGAGAAUGUGGACUUGAUUUUGACCGACUGCAGUUUUGUCCCAAAGAUACUCAACUCAAAUAUUUUGAAAAACAGUUUGAACUGUCAGAACAAACAAAAUUACCAAUGUUUCUUCAUUGUCGAAACUCACAUGCUGAAUUUUUGGACAUAAUGAAAAGAAAUAGAGAUCGGUGUGUAGGGGGAGUGGUGCAUUCAUUUGAUGGUACCAAGGAAGCAGCAGCUGCUUUGAUUGACUUGGAUCUUUAUAUAGGAUUUAAUGGUUGCAUUAUGUAUACAUAUACACGUCAUAUCUGACUAUGGACGAACGGUUUAUUCUGUGA